UUGUUUCUCAAAUUCGAUCAUCUAUCUAUCUAUCUAUCUAUCUAUAUAUAUAAAAGAGUGUUUUGCUCUCUUCUAGUGAAGCCACGUCACUAAGUCGAUGGCUGUGAGCGUGACACCUGUCAUCUUCAUAAAACGCAUAGUUUCAUCUAAGUUAGGAUACAAUUAAUUUAGGCUUUCGUGUGGGCUUAUGCUUUAUGAAUGGUAUCUAAUUUUGUCUGUUCACUUUGAAUUUGGGUUACCCGUCGUCUUCUAUCUCUGCGAUGAUUGAGCUAGAGCAACAAUGGAAAUCAAAUCAAGUCAGCCGAAACGUCUCAUUAAUGAUACUCAGCUAACACCAAGGCGGUUUUCUUUACCUAUAAAAGGACUGGUGACUGCUCUUACACCGUCCAUGUGCGGUUGCUCCGAUUCUGGGAAGCUGAUUCUUGUCAACCGUCAUGCCAGCCACCAUGAAUGUUAACCGGCUAGCCACUUACAGAGACCGUCUCCAGGCUGGUUUCACCGGUGCAACCAGAACUUCAGGCUUUCAGACUUGCUUCUGACAGUCCGGUACAGUGAUUCAACCAAUCUAGAUGUGCUAAACGAACCAGAUUCUCACAUUCCUGAAGAACGUUUCAGGUUCGGUGAUCACGAUUCGCUUCUUGGCCCAGCCAACACCAACACACAUCUUCUAGACGUUAUUACUGAGCUCACUGCUAUGAGAAGUACGGUGAGUGACAUUCCUCAAGUAAAAGAGCGAGUUAUGGCGACUAUGUAGAUCGACAGGAACUCUUCUAUAUUUGAAUCUAUUCAAAACUUUCAUAAAUUAUGUAAUUUCCUUUUGCAUAUAUGUUGACCUUUCUAUGAUAUGCCUUCCUUUUCACACACAUAUCAUUGUCACUUUCAGUCUGUUUGACUCACAAACGAUCUCUUUUCACAAGAAACUUGAAGGUUGUUGUUGCAAGUAGCAUAAACCCAAAGAUGGUAGGAGGACGUUUGUCACACAUGUGUUUUUCGACAAGGAAACUGAUGCAGAAGCUAGACAUGUCUCUUUCAUUUAAAGAUCAGUCAAAACAGAACACAUUCAGAUCUCGAUUAUUAAUCUAUAGUACAUGAAGAAGUUUCAGGUAGAUAUUUAUUUCCCUAUGUCAUCUAAUCUUAUUCAUGUUCAAAGUAUGAAGGCUGUCUCAUGAACGGAGAUGAUGAUUGUGUCAUCCUUUAGCACGUUAAACAUGACAGACAUGAUCUUUUGAAGAGAGAAAUAGAUGUGUAUCUGCUGCAGUUGUACGGCUACUGAGAUAGAGAGGACACAAAAGAGGAUGAAUACAAAAUAGAGAUCUGCAGUACUUUGAUGAACUAGAAGCUAGAAAUGAUGUGUAGCCUUCUCCCAAACUGGAAACAUCAACAAACUACCUUGGUCUAAAUAUAAAAAGAGUCUUAACAGCAAGUAGGGUCUAAUCAUAUUUACUAAUAUAUAAGCCCAUAUGUAGAAAAAUAAUACGAGUGUACACAAUGAUUUGGUCUAUGUGUUAUUGUAUAUAUUUUUCUUUCUAGACUACAAUUCUUCUUUAAUCUUCUUCUCUGAAUAUUCUUCUACUCAAGUCAUUAGAAAAUUACCAGUUACAGUACUACUUUGGAAAAAAUUGUUUCAGUU